UUUCCGUAGGUGAACCUGCGGAAGGAUCAUUACUGAGUAAUGACCCUCCGAGUCCAACCUCCCACCCGUUUUUAUUGUACAUUUUUGCUUCGGUGAACCCGCCUCACGGCCGCCGGGGGGCGUCUGCCCGCGGGCUCGUGCUCGCAGUAGAAACCUUUUAACUCCUUCUGAAUGUGCCAGCCUGAGCGAAAACUAAAUAAGUAAAAAAUUUCAACAAUGGAUCUCUUGGUUCCGGCUUACAUGAAGAAACCACUAGAACUGAUUAGCACAGUCCUUAAA
rnacentral:misc_RNA from 1 species